AUUGAACGCUGGCGGCAGGCCUAACACAUGCAAGUCGAACGAGUGGCGGACGGGUGAGUAUGUCUGGGAAACUGUCUUAUGGAGGGGGAUAACUACUGGAAACCGUAGCCAAUACCGCAUACCAUCAGACUUGCCCAGAUUGGAUGAGCUAGUUGGUGGGGUAAAGGCUCACCAAGGCGACGAACCGUAGCUGGGCUGAGAGGAGGACCAGCCACACGGGAACUGAGACACGGUCCAGACUCCUACGGGAGGCAGCAGUGGGGAAUAUUGCACAAUGGGCGCAAGCCUGAUGCAGCCAUGCCGCGUGUAUGAAGAAGGCCUUCGGGUUGUAAAGUACUUUCAGCGGGGAGGCGUUACCCGCAGAAGAAGCACCGGCUAACUCCGUGCCAGCAGCCGCGGUAAUUC
rnacentral:rRNA from 1 species